rnacentral:rRNA from 1 species
GACGAACGCUGGCGGCGUGCUUAACACAUGCAAGUCGAACGGAAAGGCCCUGCUUUUGUGGGGUGCUCGAGUGGCGAACGGGUGAGUAACACGUGUGUAUACUGCCCUUGACUUUGUGGUAACAUCAGGAAACUGGGGAUAAUACCCGAUAGAAGCUCCUGCUGCACGGGGGUGGUUGGAAAGUUUCGGUGUUGGGGGAUGUACUCGCGGCUUAUCAGCUAGUUUGUCUGGUAGUGAAUUACCAGGGCUAUGAAGGGUAGCCGACGUAAGAGAGCGAUAGGCCACACGAGAGCUGAGACACGGUCCAGACUACUACGGGAGGCAGCAGUAGGCAAUCUUACGCAGUAGGCGAAAGCAUGACGGAACAACCGGGCGUGAGUGAUGAAGGUCUUCGGAUCGUAAUACUCUGUUAUUAGGGAAGAACAUAUGUGUAAGGAACUGUGCAGAGCGUGACGGUAACUAAUCAGAAAGCCACGGCUAACUACGUG